rnacentral:lncRNA from 1 species
AGAAUAGAUUGGAGAAACAUAAAGGCAAAGAAUCCUAAAAUAACUGUGCUAGAAAAUUAAAACGAUAUAUGCAAGAAUUGUAAAUUGUAUUAAAAAGGGGCAAGAAACAAUGUAAACCGUAACAAAGCAAGCAUAAAAUUGGUAUUGAAAACUGAAUUUGAAAAGUACAAGAUAUCGGAGUUACUCAGAAUCCCACUAUCUGUCACCCAAUGGAAAUGAUCCAAGAACCCCAACGAAGCAGCGUUUCUAGUUUCU